rnacentral:tRNA from 1 species
CGGCCAGACCGCCGGGCCCGCCGGUGCCGCCGUUGCCGCCGGCGGCGCCCUGGUCGCCGGUGGCGCCGACCCCGCCCUGGCCGCC